UCGCCUGUUUAUUCAAAAACAUGGCUUCCUGUAGAUAUGAAGAAAGGGGGUCUGGCCUGCCCGGUGGAGUGUCUCUAAACGGUUGCAGCUACCACUGUACUAAGGUAGCGUAGUAGGUCGUCCUUUAAUUGGGGGAAAGUAUGAAUGGUCGGAUGUUGGAAAGUCUUUAUUAUGAGUAUAUAUUGAAUUUUACUUUUCGAUGAAAAGGUCGAGAUGAGUUUAUUAGACGAGAAGACCCUGUUGAGCUUGGUAUGCCUGUCUCGUGUUGGGGUGGGGUUAUGUUUGUUCGGGGCUGAUCGGAAGGGAAUUAGACGCCUUCUAAGUGAGGUAAGGAUCCAGCAAGGCUGAUAAGUAGAAGAUAGUUACCACAGGGAUAACAGCGCAAUCUUCCUGGUAAGGUCAUAUUUAAGGGGUGGUUUGCGACCUCGAUGUUGAAUCAGGAUUUCUACUAGGUGUAGCAGCUUAGUAAGUGGGACUGUUCGUCCUUUAAAAUCCUACGUGAUCUGAGUUCAGACCGG
rnacentral:rRNA from 1 species